CGCGGAGCCCCCUCUUCCCGUGCACAGUGCGGGGCGAGGCUUGGCGAGCGGUGGGUCUGCGCCUUCCCAAGAAGAGACUGGGGCAGCAUGAAUGUGCUGGAAGAUUAGAGGCUGCUGAUGCUGAAGGAAGGAGAAACGAGGAGGAAGUGUCCCUGUGGACAAGUCAUCUCCCUUCAUUUAAGCCAGGCCAGUAGUCCGGGAGACAUUCUGAAUGAUGCAUUAUCCUAGGCACCAGAAAGUAUCUAACAUUCUCAUGGACAGCAGGGAAAAAUGAGCACAUGAGACAGGGGAAGAUUCCAGCACCUGUGAACAUGUUUGUGCAGGUUUCCAGUCAGUACAUGGAUAUCCCUCAAGCCUUUGAAUCCAGUCUCCUGUGUUGUGAUUGGACCGUUUGUCAUUAGGUUUCCAGUGGCAGAGUAAUGCUGUGGGAGAACUGGCUACGAUGGCCGCAGGAGGUGAAUUAAGUAUUGUUGUGUUUUUAGUAGAACCACUAAAGGAAGAUCUGCAGGCAAGUUGGAUGAGUAUAAGAGCCAAAGAUUGACAAGACUUCCUCAGAUGCUCCUACUGACCAGUGGGGGCACUUCUACAGCUCCCCGAAUAUGUUCUCCCUGCAACCCCCACCACUUUUUAAUUAAAUGGCCAGAACUGCCUUUUUGUAUCAAAACUUAUUUUAGUCUAUCAAUCAAAGGCUUCUAUAGCCCACCUCAUGGCAAAGGAUAUCAGAGAGGGAAGGCUGGGAGGUAUGAAUUUGAAGCUGGACACGUUGCUGCUCCCCUUAAAGUUUGGAUUAUUUUACUAAAGAAGAAGAGAACAGGUACUGUGUAAUUAAUUGGCAGGAGGAGUUUGCUGCCAUAAACACUUGAUGUGUGAAUCCACGCUAGUUCCCUAGCUUCUAAGCCUCAGUUUACUCAUCUGUCACCUGGGAAAAAAUAUUUGCUCGUUCCUCACUAUUAUAUCAGGAAUGAAUUGUGAAGAUAAAAUGAAAUAGUUCACGUAAAGUGCCCAUUAUAGUUCUGGGCACAUAAAUGUUAAGAAAUGGUAAUUUAAGAAUUAAGGCAUGAAAAUAUGUUCAGCUUUACUAGAGACUGGGGGAAUGCAAACUAAAAUGCCAACAAGAUGUAAUUUUUCUUUCCUUUCCAAAU
rnacentral:lncRNA from 1 species